GCUAAUUUUUUCCAUGAACAUAGCUUGUCAAAAAUAUCUUUUCCUUCGAUAUAUUUAUCGUAUCUUUGUGUUUUACUUGGGCCGAUGAUAUAUGUGAAAUAAUUUCUGAAGUGUGAUUUUCCAGAUAUACAAUUGAUUUCAGAGAAAUGAACAAAGCCAAAAAAAGAAGCUCAGAAGGAAGAAAAUGAGGGUAACAGAGAGCUUAAGGUUUUUCCAUUGAAAGGGUAGUUGCUUCUCUCUGUAUUAUCAUCCUAUGAUUUCUCAAAGAUAAUCCCAACAACCCUUUCUUCAGGAACAUUUGCAUGUAAUACCCUAUUUUGGAACUGUUGUUUUAUGCUUCCGCCGGAAAAUUCAGUGUUGCCGUUGCCGGUGAGUAUAAUUGAUGGCUUCAAAGAGGUGGUGAUGAUGAUUUUUGUAAUUGUUUUCAUUCCCUUUCUGAGCUUUUUUAAUCGGGAAAUUUCAGAUGGCGUCGCCGGGAUCUCUUUUUUUGGCUUGAGCUUUAUUAACAGAUCUGAGCAUCAAGAUUAUGUAAGCUGUUUCUGAAUAUGGAUAUAUAGAUGUUUUUUGUUAUCAAUUGCGAAUCAACAAGUUCAAUUUUGGCCUGAUUGGAAAUUCCCAGCUGCUGAACUUGCUCCGGUCGAUCUCUUUUACCGGCGAAAUCGAAUUGUUUUGUUUCUUACAAUGAAAUUCCGGCCGAAAUACUCUGCUUUUGAACUUGCUCCGGUCGAUCUCUUUUACCGGCGAGAUUGAGGUGUUAGUUUCUGUUCUCAAAAACUCUAAUCCCUUCGUUUUCUUCCCAAUGAUGAUUUGCAAUGAUGGAAACCGAAUGGUGAGUUCGAUUUGACCCUAUCUGGAUGGGCUUUUCGGGUAAGGCCCAAUUGAUUAGGGCAUAGGGCACAGUAUAAGAAUCAGCAUUAACAAGAAAAUAGCACAAAUCUCAUUAGUUUAAGUAUGAGGCGGCAGUGAAAGCAGAGAGCUUUAGGGAGUUUUAAUGGGUGGUUUUGCCACUCUCUGUCAUUCUCCGCCGCCGAUGAUCACUCAAAAUGAUUGCAAAAAACUACCCUUUUGGUGAAAUUUCACUAGACCUUCCUCUGAUUCCAUUUGUUGUUACUCUCUCUGUCCAAAUUUAUCUUUAAUGAGGCAAUGAAGAUUUGAAAGAUUUUUGUCUUCUUUGGAAGAUGAAACAGACAUAUUUCUAUUGAGCUGGAAAAAAAAUGGUAUCUUGGCGUGGCAGCUCAGAUGGGUCUGUGAGAAGUGGAGGAGAAAGUUUUUUUUUCUGUCUCAUAAGGCUAACUGAUGCUUGCAGCUAUGGAGGUUUUUUCAAAAGCUUUUUGGUUUGUCUGAGAAAAGGCGAAUCUGAGCCUAAGCUCAUUAGUUUAAGUCUGAGGCGGCUGUGAAAGCAGAGAGGUUUAGGGAGUUUGAAUGGGUGGUUUUGCCACUCUCUGUUAUGCUCUGCCGCCGAUGAUCACUCAAAUGAUUUGCUAAAACCAUCCUUUUGUUUGAUGAAACAGACCUAUAUUUCCAUGGAGCUGGAAAAGACUCUAUCUUGGUGUUGCAGCUCCAGAUGUGUCUGUGAGAAGUGGAAGAGAAAGGUCCAUUUUUUAUCUUUCUUUUCUGUCUCAUAAUGCUUGACAGAUGCUUGCAGCCAUGGUGGUUCUUUUUUAAAGCUUUUUGAUUUUGUCUGAGAAAAGGCGAAUCUGAGCCUACUCUAACAACGAAAACAACAUACCCAGUAUAAGCUGAGCCUACUCUAUUGCCUUGAUUGGCUUUUGUGAUUCGGGGAAUGAAUUCCUGAGUUUUAUAGCCUAUGAGUUCUUUUGCUAUCAAAUUCUCAGAGAAACAUAGGAGUGUGCCUAAAAUGUCUUCUUUUGACCAGAAUUCUAGCAAUGUCAACUCCAAAUGUCUAUUUUUUAGUUUCUUUGUUUUGAUAAAUAUGUUCCUUUUUGAUACUUAAAAAUAUUUUCCCCUAUUUUUCAAUUAUAAUGAAUAGGGAAGCUCUCUCUCUGAGAUUAGUGUGCCUUGAUGUUUUCUCUUUUUUUGAACUCUGUAUAGAAUCACAAGGCCUGUGCCCAAUUGUGUUUCCGUUUGUCUAUAAAUCUAGGCAUUUGAGUACUAACGUAUAUUCGUUACUUUGUUGCUGAGAUGCUUAGUUUUCCUUAUAGGUAAAGUCCAUAAUUUCGUCAACCUGACCUGUAGUUUGAACUGUAAUUUGAUUACUCAUUUUUUAAAAUGAUGUAAUACAACUGCAUCAAUUUAUGCAGGAGCGCCGCAAUUUGUGUUGUCAGAAUACAAGCUAAACCCAUAAAUCUUUUGUGAGCAAGGCAGUUUAUUUAUAAAUUAUAAGGGAGUAAGCUCAUUUUAUAGUUUAUGCAAAUUUUGCAGUUGUUGCUUGUUUUGUGAGUACCACUAAAUUUGGAGGUUUUUCCGUGCUAGUUGGUUUUUUUGGCACACUUUAAGAUUGACCUAAACAAAAAGUCAUACUUCUUGGUCUUAUUCCGUGCAUGAAGAAAUUCAUCCUAAAUGAUGAGUAAUUUAAGUAAGCCAUGGAUUAACAUCCAAAUGAAGCUUUUUGUCAUAGUUACUCUGAUAGACGACCUCUAUCAGCAAUAUAUUAUAUUAUCACGACCACUUAUCUAAAGAAGUUGUUUCAGUAGUUGAAUUUAUGCUUCAUUUAGUCAGGUUCUUGUUUCUGCUAUGUAUUAUCUUAGGGGUUCUCUUUCAUUGAUGAAUGAUCCAUACAAGAAGUAUGUUGUGUAUUAUGUUAGGACUCUUCAUCCUUCUUACUGUUGUCCUUCUAGUCAGUUUGUUUACUCUAUGCACAAAAGAUUUCAUCCUAAAUGAUGAGUAAUUCAAGUAAGCCAUGGAUUAACAUCCAAAUGAAGCUUUUUUGUCAUAGUUACUCUGAUAGA